AUUCCAGGAGAGGAUCACGAUCAAAUUCACCGCACAGAUCACGCUCUCCUGUAUUGCGUCGAGUUCGUUCUCCCUAUCAGCGUAGAUCACGUUCUCCUGGACGUCGCAGGUCACCUCCACCUUUCCGAAGCCGCAGAUCACCCUCACCUUUUCGAGGCCGUAGAUCACCCUAUCGGCGCCGAAGAUCACCCUCACCUCUCCGCCGCCGCAGACCCUCACCUGUUCGUAAUCGCAGAUCACCAUCACCUAUCCGGCGUCGCAGGUCACCCUCCCCUCUGCGGCGACGGUUGUCACCUAUUGGACGGCGUCGCAGGUCCCCCUCACCCGCACGUCGUAGGUCACCC
rnacentral:lncRNA from 1 species